rnacentral:rRNA from 1 species
GAUGAACGCUGGCGGCGUGCCUAAUACAUGCAAGUAGAACGCUGAAGGAGGAGCUUGCUCUUCUGGAUGAGUUGCGAGCGGGUGAGUAACGCGUAGGUAACCUGCCUGGUAGCGGGGGAUAACUAUUGGAAACGAUAGCUAAUACCGCAUGACAACAGUUAUUGCAUGAUAACUGUUUAAAAGUGGCAACUUCUCCACUACCAGAUGGACCUGCGUUGUAUUAGCUAGUUGGUGAGGUAACGGCUCACCAAGGCGACGAUACAUAGCCGACCUGAGAGGGUGAUCGGCCACACUGGGACUGAGACACGGCCCAGGAUCCUACGGGAGGCAGCAGUAGGGAAUCUUCGGACAUGGACGGAAGUCUGAACGAGCAACGCCGCGUGAGUGAAGAAGGUUUUCGGAUCGUAAAGCUCUGUUGUAAGAGAAGAACGAGUGUGAGAGUGGAAAGUUCACACUGUGACGGUAUCUUACCAGAAAGGGACGGCUAACUACGUG